rnacentral:rRNA from 1 species
AGCGAACGCUGGCGGCAGGCCUAACACAUGCAAGUCGAACGAACCUUUCGGGGUAAGUGGCGGACGGGUGAGUAACACGUGGGAACGUGCCUUUAGGUUCGGAAUAACUCAGGGAAACUUGUGCUAAUACCGAAUGUGCCCUUCGGGGGAAAGAUUUAUCGCCUUUAGAGCGGCCCGCGUCUGAUUAGCUAGUUGGUUGAGGUAAUGGCUCACCAAGGCGACGAUCAGUAGCUGGUCUGAGAGGAUGAUCAGCCACAUUGGGACUGAGACACGGCCCAAACUCCUACGGGAGGCAGCAGUGGGGAAUCUUGCGCAAUGGGCGAAAGCCUGACGCAGCCAUGCCGCGUGAAUGAUGAAGGUCUUAGGAUUGUAAAAUUCUUUCACCGGGGACGAUAAUGACGGUACCCGGAGAAGAAGCCCCGGCUAACUUCGUG